UCUAAUGUGGCAGACUAGUGCAGUGAGCUUAAGACUCAAACAUGAAAAUUAACUUCCUUUAGAA
rnacentral:tRNA from 1 species